rnacentral:rRNA from 1 species
CUUUUUGGAGAGUUUGAUCCUGGCUCAGGACGAACGCUGGCGGCGUGCCUAAUACAUGCAAGUCGAGCGGAUCUCU